rnacentral:ncRNA from 1 species
UCUUAUCCAGAGAGGUGGAGGGAUAAAGGCCCUGUGAAACCCGGCAACCUAUUAACAGUUAAAAGUUAAUAGUUAAGAUUAGAGAAAACUAUUAGGAUUUCAUCUAUAACUAUGAACUAUAAACUAAGAAUUAUUAACUAGGUUAAUGUGGUGCAAAUUCCUGCAGAACAAUUAAGUUUGCAAGAUAAGA